GGAUUAGGCAUGCAAGUCGAGCGCUCAUAGCAAUAUGGGAGCGGCGAACGGCGUAGGAAUUCAUAGGAACGUACCCUCAGGUCGGGGAUAGCUACGGGAAACUGUAGGUAAUACCCGAUGAUCUCUGCGGAGCAAAGGUGUGAUUCCGCCUGAGGAGCGGCUUAUGCGAUAUUAGCUAGUUGGUGGGGUAAUGGCCUACCAAGGCGAAGAUGUCUAGGGGGUGUGAGAGCAUGGCCCCCACGACCGGAACUGAGAUACUGUCCGGACACCUACGGGUGGCUGCAGUCGAGAAUCUUCCGCAAUGGACGAAAGUCUGACGGAGCGACGCCGCGUGCGGGAUGAAGGCCCUUGGGUUGUAAACCGCUUUCGGAGGGGAUGAAAUCCUCGAGGGUACUCCCUCGAGGUUGACAGAGCCUCAAAAGAAGCACGGGCUAAGUACGUGCCAGCAGCCGCGGUAAUA
rnacentral:rRNA from 1 species